AGCAGCCGCGGUAAUUCCAGCUCCAAUAGCGUAUAUUAAAGUUGUUGCAGUUAAAAAGCUCGUAGUUGAAUUUCGGAAUCAAUACGUCGGUCGUGCUUUCGGGUACGUACUGGCGUCAUUGGUUUCUCCUUUCUGACGAACCAUGAUGUCAUUAAUUUGGUGUUAUGGGGAGUUAGGACUGUUACUUUGAAAAAAUUAGAGUGUUUAAAGCAAGCUAACGCUUGAAUACAUUAGCAUGGAAUAAUGAAAUAGGACGUUCGAUCCUAUUUUGUUGGUUUCUAGGAUUGACGUAAUGAUUAAUAGGGAUAGUUGGGGGCAUUAGUAUUCAAUUGUCAGAGGUGAAAUUCUUGGAUUUAUUGAAGACUAACUACUGCGAAAGCAUUUGCCAAGGAUGUUUUCAUUAAUCAAGAACGAAAGUUAGGGGAUCGAAGACGAUCAGAUACCGUCGUA
rnacentral:rRNA from 1 species